GUGCUCGCUUCGGCAGCACAUAUACUAAAAUUGGAACGAUACAGAGAAGAUUAGCGAGGAACACUGAAGAGGGCAGAAUUGUUUUGCUGAAGUACAAGGGUAGAGGUCUUU